ensembl:lncRNA
GUUUCUGUCAGUGACCAGGUUCCUGUCAGUGACCAGGUUCCUGUCAGUGACCAGGUUCCUGUCAGUGACCAGGUUCCUAUCAGUGACCAGAUUUCUGUCAGUUACCAGGUUUCUGACAGUGACCAGGGUCGCAUUAAGGUAAUGAAACAGUUGCAUGAACAUUUUCGUCGCACAACCUUUUCUUAACUGACAACACCUGAAUGUGGACCACCCCAGCAGUACAUGUAGAUGAGGCAGGCUGACCUCACUAUCACCAAAAGCCAACAAACCUAACCUAUCAUCAACAAACCUAACCCAGCAGGACAGAGAAUCUCCGCAGGUGGAAAGGACAUUGAAUGCAACCCUAGUGUUUCUGUGCCAUGAAUGUGUGUGAUGGCUGGUUCUGUGGCUGUUUCAUUGUUUAAAGUUCCAGUUGUAUCCAAAAAAUAAACUGUGCAAUGCUCUCUUGAUCGGAUGAGAGGUCUAACGUGGACG